GCGCCCUCGGCUGGCGAGCGCGCGCCUGGCGAUUAGAACUUGCCGCGCGGUCGGGAAAGGGUGGCCGGAGUGAGGGGCGGAGGUGGGGACUUGCGCCUCCGCACGCCCCUCCCUUUCUUCCUUCCCCUGAGCGCCUUGGCUUGCCGCUGCCCCCGCCCCCUCCAGCGCGCCCCUUCCCUCCUGCCGCAGCCUGCGAUUGGCUGAGAGGCUCUGACGUCCGUGUUUCCAUGACGUGUUGGUGCAGGAGGGAGCGGCGGGGGAGGAGGGGGUGGCCAGGCGCGCGGGGAGGUGACUCCGUCAGUCACAGCUGCUGUUUCGGCGCGGGGCCGGGCCGCUGCCGCGACGUGUGGAGGCAGGAGAGCGAUGAUUGCCGCAGGAGAAGUGCGGGCGCCCUUCACCUGGGGCCCCUCCCGAACCGCCCCCGGGCCCAUGCCCCUCCAGGGCCCAGGAGCGAGCCAGCGGGAGGGCGAGGGCGAGCGCUCCUGGCGAGGACAGAUUAAGGCGAACCCCCAGUCAGCGGACAUUUGAGCGGCUCCUCGCCGCGUCUCUGCCCCCACUCCAAACCGGACUCGACGCCUGUCCCGGGCCGUGACGCACGCACCGGAGGAAAAAGUGCUUCUCGGCUCGCUCCCUCUUUGGGGAAGAGAGCUCACUCCCCAUGCGGGCGCGGGACACUCCAUCUCUGUUCCUGCCGGUCGGGUCCGCAAACACCGGGGAUCCCAGCUGCGGCGCCCAAAGGGUUAACGCAGGCGUUCGGCCAGUGCAAACCGGCCUCGCAGGAUCCGCGCUUAAAAUCCGGGUGUUUUCAUUUUGGGUUUGUUUCUUCUACUAUGCCAAGCUGGUGGCUCUCUUUUAAUUCUCUUGUAACAUCUCAACCCUGCACCCAUCUUUCCUGAGGGGAAAAGGAAACGGGAUAACUUGCGGUAUUUCGAUGCUCAAAGGUAACCGGCGGCUCUGCUCCAACCUUCAAGAGAUUUUGCAAGUUGAAAAAAAAAAAAAAACCAUCCUUCGUAACAUCUACUUAAAAAAAAAAAAGCAAGUUUUCCUUCUUGUACACGCAUAUACACAGUAAAGAUGUGUAUCUUACCUAAGAUACCGCGCUUCAUCUUCAUCUAAUCUUUAUUUGAACUCACCGUCGCCACUGGCCCAGAGACCUUGUCAGUGUUAUUUUCAGUAUCAGUUAAUCAGAACAAAAAGAUAAGUUCUGCAAUCUUCUUUCUCUUAAUUCCAGAACUGGAAAAUUAAUAUUUAUAUAGCCUCCUCAAAAGCAUACAGGCAAUAGGAAGUAUGGUAUUAUGUUCACGAUCUGAUGAUAGCAUUUGUUUUAAAAUAUUUUAAAAGAUUAGACACAAAAUGUGUAAAAGACGUUUAAAAGUGAAUAAAUAUAAAUCAAUGCUGUUGCAAAUAAUUUUUUUAUCAGUUUAUGUAUCUCACUAGGCUUGACAUUACCAGCCUUCUGAGCUGUGCCCUUGAUGUGUAAGAUAAACGAACAUUGAACAGAAUGAUAGCAUUUUUCCUCUCUUCAGUCACUGAUGGAGAAUUGGUUAAUGUGGUACAAUAAAUAGCCCUUCCUGACACUAUUUCAAAUCUUUUUAACAGAAGAAUAACCUAAAUUUCACCUAAUAAAUUUCAAUAUUAUUUCCCCCUAAAAUAUCUUUCAAAACGACUCAGAGACAUUUAAGAAUCACUGGCUUUUUUCCAACUUUUCCUCCAAGGAAGUUACAAUACAAUGUUGAAUUAUGUAUUCUACUUUAAUCAAGAAUUUGACAUUAAAGUAAUAUGUGAAUCAUUGCUAUAGUACACUAGCAAAAUGGGUAAUAAACUAGAAUCUGUUCACUUUGUGGGUUUGUUCCAGUUCCAGAUUAUAAAAUGAAUGCUCUUAAAGUGUUGUGGUCAUGAAACAAUUAUUGAGCAUCUUUAUUUAAGAACACGAUUCAAUUAAGUUUUCAUUUAUAUCGAUAAAUCUAUAAAUGAAACAUACGGAAUAUAUAUAUUCAUGUAUAUCCAUAAAUGAAAACGUGUGUGUGUGUGUAUCCCGGAACAUAUUUGUAUGCAUUUUAAUGAAAUGUGAGUCAUAUGCAAUGACAAACUUUUACUGUCAUAGUCAAGAAAAUUGUACUGUAGUUUGGUUUUUAUAUUUUUAUUCUUCAAAUAGGAAAUAAAGGGUGAAAGCAAUAUAGAAAUAACUGUUCACAUUACAUUAAGAAAUUCAAUUUUUUUCUCCCACAGGCUUAGUACUAAAGCAUCCCUCACACAUAUUUUUCAAUGUAAAAAUCAAGAAAAUAUUGCAUUGCUUACUGUUUCCUUGAAAAAAAAUUGAACUAUCUGAAAUCAAAGAUGCCACUGUAUGUAACAGUAUUCUCUUAAUCUUAGACCUAACUUAUCCCAUGUGUUUAACUGAUCUAGAGAUGUAUCUUUGCAUAAGGAACAAUAUAAUAAUACAAUUUACUGGGGAAAUAAUAUUUUAAAGUUCUUUUAAUAUGCAUUUUAGCUACAAUGCAAAACUUAUAAAAGUAUUUAAAUCCAGUCAGGUGCGGUGGCUCACGUCUGUAAUCCCAGCACUUCGGGAGACUGAGGCGGGCAGAUCACGAGGUCCGGAGAUUGAGACCAUCCUGGCCAACAUGGUGAAACCCCGUCUCUACUAAAAAUACAAAAAUUAGCUGGGCGUGGUGGCUCAUGCCUGUAAUCCCAGCUACUCAGGAGGCUGAGGCAGGAGAAUCGCUUGAACCAGGGAGUCCAAGGUUGCAGGGAGCCGAGAUCGCACCACUGCACUCCAGCCUGGCGACAGAGUGAGUCUCAGUCUCAAAAACAAAACGAAACAAAACAAAACAAAAAAGUAUUUAAACCCCAUGACAAGUUACCAUAUGAGAUGUUAACAUUGAAGAGUGGCUGCAGAUUCAAAAUAAUAUAUUUGGUAUUUUUAAGGUAUGCUCUUUUUCAUAGAGUAAAUCUAAACAACUGAGAUAUUUGCUGAAAAGUUGAUCGAUUCAAGAGAUAUAACACAUGAAGACAGUUUUCUAAAAUCCUCAAUGUAAUUAAGUGUAAAGAGAAACAAAGAACUUUAUUCUGUCACAUGCAUCUAGCAAUAGGACAAAAUAAAGACAUAUCAACUGCAGUGUAUUUUAAAAAACAUAUUCUUUCCCCGUAAACACAUUUUACAUAUGUGAAUGCAUCAGUCCUGAUCAUUACAGAAUCCUAAAGAGGACUGAUAAGUACAGGGAGGCAGAGAAGGAGGAUAUUAAAUUCUUAAUUUAAAAUAGCUGUAUAUGUUCUCAAAUUUCUAUUAACCUGAAUCACCAGAGAGAAGUGUCAAGAGAAAGAUUACUUAGCUGAAACCCAC
rnacentral:lncRNA from 1 species